AACGAACGCUGGCGGCAGGCUUAACACAUGCAAGUCGAGCGCCGUAGCAAUACGGAGCGGCAGACGGGUGAGUAACGCGUGGGAAUCUACCCAUCACUACGGAACAACUCCGGGAAACUGGAGCUAAUACCGUAUACGUCCUUCGGGAGAAAGAUUUAUCGGUGAUGGAUGAGCCCGCGUUGGAUUAGCUAGUUGGUGGGGUAAUGGCCCACCAAGGCGACGAUCCGUAGCUGGUCUGAGAGGAUGAUCAGCCACACUGGGACUGAGACACGGCCCAGACUCCUACGGGAGGCAGCAGUGGGGAAUAUUGGACAAUGGGCGCAAGCCUGAUCCAGCCAUGCCGCGUGAGUGAUGAAGGCCCUAGGGUUGUAAAGCUCUUUCACCGGUGAAGAUAAUGACGGUAACCGGAGAAGAAGCCCCGGCUAACUUCGUGCCAGCCGCCGCAGUAA
rnacentral:rRNA from 1 species